UCGUGAUGACAUCAACCGACUGGAGUCUCUGACAGGCCUCUUGAUCGAAAACAUCGCGUUGGAAUACUCUUCUUCUUUCCCCGUCUGAGGCG
rnacentral:snoRNA from 2 species